rnacentral:rRNA from 1 species
UACGUAGGGGGCAAGCGUUGUCCGGAAUUAUUGGGCGUAAAGAGCGCGUAGGCGGUCCGAUAAGUCGGCUGUGAAAGUCAGGGGCUCAACCCUUGGAAGCCGGCCGAUACUGUCGGACUAGAGUCCGGAAGAGGCGAGUGGAAUUCCCGGUGUAGCGGUGAAAUGCGCAGAUAUCGGGAGGAACACCCGUGGCGAAGGCGGCUCUCUGGGACGGUACUGACGCUGAGACGCGAAAGCGUGGGGAGCAAACAGGG